UCCUUUCCUGGGGGUCAGAGUAGAGUGGUCGUAGCCUGAUGCUUCUGAUCUCUUAUCCCAGACAAGCC
ensembl:miRNA Mir6904 microRNA 6904